rnacentral:rRNA from 1 species
GAUGAACGCUGGCGGCGUGCCUAAUACAUGCAAGUCGAGCGAACGGACGAGAAGCUUGCUUCUCUGAUGUUAGCGGCGGACGGGUGAGUAACACGUGGAUAACCUACCUAUAAGACUGGGAUAACUUCGGGAAACCGGAGCUAAUACCGGAUGAUAUUUUGAACCGCAUGGUUCAAAAGUGAAAGACGGUCUUGCUGUCACUUAUAGAUGGAUCCGCGCUGCAUUAGCUAGUUGGUAAGGUAACGGCUUACCAAGGCAACGAUGCAUAGCCGACCUGAGAGGGUGAUCGGCCACACUGGAACUGAGAAACGGUCCAGACUCCUACGGGAGGCAGCAGUAGGGAAUCUUCCGCAAUGGCGAAAGCCUGACGGAGCAACGCCGCGUGAGUGAUGAAGGUCUUCGGAUCGUAAAACUCUGUUAUUAGGGAAGAACAUAUGUGUAAGUAACUGUGCACAUCUUGACGGUACCUAAUCAGAAAGCCACGGCUAACUACGUG